rnacentral:lncRNA from 1 species
GAACAGAUAGGAUCUUAUGGGUGAUUUUUUUUUCUUUACUAUAGAUGAUCUCGAACUAAAGAAUUCUCUCUCGUACUAUGAAUUCUCUCUCGUACUUUUAGGACCUGUAUCAAUUUAUAGGAGAUGUUCUGCUUUGCGCUGACGCUAGCACAAAUUUUGUUGUUCUUUUCUUAGUAGAAGGUAUAUAGUGAUCCAUUCGCCAAUCGCCAUGCAUCCAUCGUCUUUUUAUGCAGAAGUCCACGCAAUAUCUUGGUAGAGAGGACAACAUGACCGAUAGAUCACCAAUGUAGGAGCCCUCUAGUGUACGCGAAACAUCCAAAUUUCGCAACUUGCAAUGAAGAAAUUUGCAUAGACGUUUUGUGGCUUAUCUGUGCCGGCUUCUACCAAUUGAACUUGCACCUUAAACUUCUCCAAGGCCGGGCGUUACCCCCAAC